UGAAAUGGUUACCGAUCCGUCAGCGUAGA
rnacentral:sRNA from 1 species